rnacentral:lncRNA from 1 species
GUGGAUUUUGCAGCAAGUGAGAGAAGACAGUUGGAAAGCCAGUCCAUGGAUAGUAGGGGGGUGGCCAAUAUUGAGGCGAUUCCUUCCUGCUCAAAAUGUCAUCCAACUGCUGAGUCCAGGCCAGGGCAGGAAGCAAAGACCACCAGCAGCCAGGGCUGCAGGGUUGGGGUGUCCUGGCCUCAGGAGGAGGGGUGCGUGGGCCCAGGCUGCCACCCUUGGAGCCAGGAGCAGCCCGCACAGUCCCUGGUUUCCUGGCGGCUCUCAAGCAGGAGGCCCGAGCUGCUAGCUCAGCAGUUUUCCCUCAGCCAGAAGAACCCCGCUCUCUUUCUGAAAGUAAUGAUUUUCUAAAAAUGGAUUCCCUCCCCUCCCCCAGCUGCAAUUAAUCUACCCAACACAAAGUGGCCGCUGGAGGAGGACUCUGGGACCUGGAAGAUAUGUUUUAGGAUGAUGGAGACAGAAGAUGGAAAAGCGUUCGGAUCCUGAAUGGCUGCUCUGGAGAGCCCCUGGGCCCGCUGCAGACUUUGUUUGAAUGUGGAACUUUUUCUUUGUGGCUGAGAUUUGGAGGUUUGCCUAUCCAGAUGAUUAUGUGACCUGUGCCCCACACUCAGUCCCUUGCAGAAUCUGGCUUGCUUCUUUCUUUUAUGGAGGCUGAAGUACAGUGGCAUGAUGGCAUGAUCUCUGCUCACUGCAACCUCCGCCUCCCAGACUCAAGCAAUUCUCGUGCCUCAGCCUCCCGAGUAGCUGGGAUUACAGGCGUGAGCCACCGCGCCUGGCCUACGUUGUGUUGUCUUUAAGGAUUGUUUUGCUUAUUUUGGGUCCCUUGCAAUUUCAUCCAAAUUUUAGAAUCAGCUCGUCAUUUUCUACAAAGAAGUCAGCUGGGAUUCUGACAGGGAUUGCAUUGAAUCGGCAGGUGAACUUGGAGAGUACUGACAUCUCGGUGAUGUAAAGUCUUCCUAUCUAUGAAUAAAGGACUGUUUUUCCAGUUAUUUAGACCUUCUUUAAUUACUUUCAAGGCUUUUUAUUUUUCAGAGUAUCAGUUUUACCCUUUUUUGUUGUAUUUAUUUCUAAGUUAUUCAUUCUUUU